rnacentral:siRNA from 1 species
AGAGGCACACGUCAGUACCGCCA